UACGGAGGGUGCGAGCGUUGUCCGGAAUCACUGGGCGUAAAGGGCGCGUAGGCGGCGCGGGUAGUCAACGGUGAAAGCUCAGGGCUCAACCCUGAGUCGGCCGUCGAUACUCCCGUGCUUGAGCACUGUAGAGGCAGGUGGAAUUCCGGGUGUAGCGGUGGAAUGCGUAGAGAUCCGGAAGAACACCGGUGGCGAAGGCGGUGAGCUGGGCAGUUGCUGACACUGAGGCGCGACAGCGUGGGGAGCAAACAGG
rnacentral:rRNA from 1 species